UAAGGAAUAUUCCACAAUGGGCGCAAGCCUGAUGGAGCGACGCCGCGUGAGGGAUGAAGCUUUUCGGAGUGUAAACCUCUUUUCUUUGGGAUGACACCCUGGGGUAAACUCCCCAGGUACGACAGUACCAGAGGAAUAAGCAUCGGCUAACUACGUGCCAGCAGCCGCGGUAAUACGUAGGAUGCAAGCGUUGUCCGGAUUUACUGGGCGUAAAGCGCGCGCAGGUGGCAUGGCAAGUAAGGUGUGAAAUCUCCCUGCUCAACGGGGAGGGAGCGCUUUAGACUGCCAAGCUAGAGGACGGUAGAGGGGGGUGGAAUUGCUGGUGUAGCGGUGAAAUGCGUAGAGAUCAGCAGGAACACCCGUGGCGAAGGCGGCCCCCUGGGCCGUACCUGACGCUGAGGCGCGAAGGCUAGGGGAGCGAACGG
rnacentral:rRNA from 1 species